rnacentral:rRNA from 1 species
CUACGUGCCAGCAGCCGCGGUAAUACGGAAGGUCCAGGCGUUAUCCGGAUUUAUUGGGUUUAAAGGGAGCGUAGGCUGGAGAUUAAGUGUGUUGUGAAAUGUAGACGCUCAACGUCUGAAUUGCAGCGCAUACUGGUUUCCUUGAGUACGCACAACGUUGGCGGAAUUCGUCGUGUAGCGGUGAAAUGCUUAGAUAUGACGAAGAACUCCGAUUGCGAAGGCAGCUGACGGGAGCGCAACUGACGCUUAAGCUCGAAGGUGCGGGUAUCAAACAGGAUUAGAUACCCUGGUAGUCCGCACAGUAAACGAUGGAUGCCCGCUGUUGGUACCUGGUAUCAGCGGCUAAGCGAAAGCGUUAAGCAUCCCACCUGGGGAGUACGCCGGCAACGGUGAAACUCAAAGGAAUUGACGGGGGCCCGCACAAGCGGAGGAACAUGUGGUUUAAUUCGAUGAUACGCGAGGAACCUUACCCGGGCUUGAAC